AUUGAACGCUGGCGGCAUGCCUUACACAUGCAAGUCGAACGGCAGCGGACCUUCGGGUGCCGGCGAGUGGCGAACGGGUGAGUAAUGUAUCGGAACGUACCUUUCAGUGGGGGAUAACGUAGCGAAAGUUACGCUAAUACCGCAUAUUCUGUGAGCAGGAAAGCAGGGGAUCGCAAGACCUUGCGCUGAUUGAGCGGCCGAUAUCAGAUUAGCUAGUUGGUGAGGUAAAGGCUCACCAAGGCGACGAUCUGUAGCGGGUCUGAGAGGAUGAUCCGCCACACUGGAACUGAGACACGGUCCAGACUCCUACGGGAGGCAGCAGUGGGGAAUUUUGGACAAUGGGGGCAACCCUGAUCCAGCCAUGCCGCGUGAGUGAAGAAGGCCUUCGGGUUGUAAAGCUCUUUCGUCCGGGAAGAAAUCGCAUCAGCUAAUACCUGGUGUGGAUGACAGUACCGGAAUAAGAAGCACCGGCUAACUACGUGCCAGCCGCCGCAGUAAAAC
rnacentral:rRNA from 1 species